GAUGAACGCUGGCGGCGUGCCUAAUACAUGCAAGUCGAGCGAACAGACGAUGAGCUUGCUCCUCGGUCGUGAGCGGCGGACGGGUGAGUAACACGUGGAUAACGUACCUAUAAGACGGGGAUAACUUCGGGAAACCGGAUCUAAUAGCAUAGAAUAUAUUGAACCGCGGGGGUGGAUAGUGAGAUACGGUGUUUGGGGCAGUACUAGCUGGAUCCGCGCCGUAUGAGAUGGUUGGUAGGUUAACGGCUUUCGAAGGGAACUAUGCGUGGCCGACCUGAGGGGGGGAUCGCCGACCCUGGAACUGAGCCGCCGUCCAGACUCCUACGGGAGGCACCAGUAGGCAAUCUUACGCAAUGGGCGAAAGCCUGACGGAGCAACGCCGCGUGAGUGACGAAGGUCUUCGGAUCGUAAAACUCUGUUAUUAGGGAAGAACCACUGUCUAAGUAACUAUGCACGUCUUGACGGUACCUAAUCAGAAAGCCCCGGCUAACUACGUG
rnacentral:rRNA from 1 species